ensembl:lncRNA
UCUUCAAGGCAGUUCCAAAGCUAAGAAACUGCUGUGUGUGUUUUGCAGAAACAGGUCUUGAGGGAGUACAGUCUAAGGAGUUUAUCUAGAGAUAUUUGUAAUCUCUCCAAAUUAUAGUGCUGGCAUUGAGAUCGUCACCAGGACACUGAAUAGUAUCUUCCUUCAGACAGAGAUUGAGAAGAGGAAAUACCACCACUGUGCAGCCAAGCUGUGCUGAGGACUGAUUGAAAGAAACUGCUGCUCCAGAUGUUGCUCUAGCCAGCUUUCGAAGUGUGAGCAGGUUCAUUUUUCUAAUGAAAACCACAGGGGCAGUGUCUACACUGGCAAGAUGAAGUAGAGAAACAAGCAAUCUGAGUCAUGUAUCCACUAAUGAUUUCAGAUGACUCUUUCCUACAAAAUGUCACCAAUAAUGAACAAGCCAACAGCCCCGGAGAUGGUGGGUCACAAAGGUUGGAGAAAAAGGGAUGAAGCAAGGAAUUUCAUCAACAAAAGUCCCAUCAGCUGGGGAGAGGUGCUCUCUCCUUUGAAGCUCAUGUUUCUCAGAAAUGAGAUUCUGUAUUCCCAGGCCUCCACUCUGCAGUCCCAGCACAAACACACGCACCAACAGCUGCUCGGAGCUUUGAAGAGGGAGCAAGAAGCU